rnacentral:lncRNA from 1 species
GAUUUAUCAAAUCUAGGCAAAUAACUCAGUUAUUUCUAAACCAAACUAUAUCUCUACUAAAAAAACCUUCGUAGUACUGAUCGUUCCUAGCGCAAGUGACAAAGAAUUUGAUGGUUGCUAUUCGAGAUCCCAAGUUUCAAUCCUAAUUGAUUUAUAUUUCUAGCUAAUUUUAUUUUUUAAAAAAUAAACGAAGCGGAUAACAUAUUACCUUUCUCUUAAAAAAAAAAAAACCUUUUUAUUAUCCUAGAUGAAAGUCACGCAACCGUGCAACACUAAAAUUAAAAAUAAAAGUAAUAAGUGUUUCUACCAAUUGUGCUAAAAAUGACGCAAUCACUUUGAGCCCACCAGUCUCUUAUUCUAUGUUUCUUUAAAAAAAAAUUUGAAUCGUUAAUUGCACUACUUUUAGGGCAUGUUUGGUUCAUGAUUGAAAUAGAAAUGGGAAAUAGAAUUGAAUUGCUUUGGAAUGAAAAAUAGAAUGACGAAUCAUCCAAAAAUGUUUGGUUCAUUAUUGGAAUGGAAAUCGAAAUGAAAAUUUAAAAUUUUUUAGAGAGGGUUUUGAUUAAGAGAGAGGAAAGUAAUGAAGGAAGAGGAGGUAGGUGUUGAUGAAAGAGGAUUUUGAAUAGUUUACUUCGGAAUGAACUAAUCCGGGAUUCAAAGCCGGAUUGAAUCAUAAAUGGAUUUGGCCAUUCCCAUUCCGGAGUGGAAUGAAAAUUGAAAUUCGAUUCUUAUAAAACAAACGGCAACAAUCGGAAUCAAUAAAAUCCAUUCCGAUUCCAUAGUCUAAAAUAGGUGAACCAAACAUGCCCUUAAUUUUCUUGAGGGAGAUAGGCUAAUAAUU